AUUGAACGCUGGCGGCAGGCUUAACACAUGCAAGUCGAGCGGGGUGAUGGUGCUUGCACUAUCACUUAGCGGCGGACGGGUGAGUAAUGCUUAGGAAUCUGCCUAUUAGUGGGGGACAACAUCUCGAAAGGGAUGCUAAUACCGCAUACGUCCUACGAGAGAAAGCAGGGGAUCACUUGUGACCUUGCGCUAAUAGAUGAGCCUAAGUCGGAUUAGCUAGUUGGUGGGGUAAAGGCCUACCAAGGCGACGAUCUGUAGCGGGUCUGAGAGGAGGAUCCGCCACACUGGGACUGAGACACGGCCCAGACUCCUACGGGAGGCAGCAGUGGGGAAUAUUGGACAAUGGGGGGAACCCUGAUCCAGCCAUGCCGCGUGUGUGAAGAAGGCCUUAUGGUUGUAAAGCACUUUAAGCGAGGAGGAGGCUCUUUUGGUUAAUACCCAAGAUGAGUGGACGUUACUCGCAGAAUAAGCACCGGCUAACUCUGUGCCAGCCGCCGCAGUAA
rnacentral:rRNA from 1 species